AUGAAUGGACAUGUCCACAGGUGGGAGAGAGGGGAUGCUUGCAGAAUGGAUGAGGAGAAAGGCAGAAAAUUGAAGGGGCAAAGGAUCCCCCCUUCUCCUGGUCCCUUUGCCCUUCCUCCUUCCCCUGUUCUUCCAAAAUUGGGUCUGUGUAUCUACUCUAGCCCAACCUUCGCCCAUAUCUAUCCUCCCUCUCUCUCUUCUCUCUCUCUCUCUCUCUCUCUCUUCUCUCUCUCUCUCUGUUUGUCUCUCCUCUCUCCUCUCCCUCUCCCUCUUUCCCUCCCUUUCCCCCUCUCUCCCUCCUCUUUCUCCAUUCCUCUUUCUCUCCUUCUCCCCUCUUCGUCCUUCUCCUCCUCUUCUUCUUCUUCUUCUUCCUCUUCCUCUUCUCUCACUCUCUCCUUUCUCCUCUCCUCUUUCUCUCCUCCUCCUCAUCGCCUCCUCCUCCUCCUCCUUCUUCUCCAUCUUCAUUUCUUCUUCUUCUUCUUCUUCCUCUUCUUCUUCUUCUUCUUCUUCUUCUUCUUCUUCUUCUUCUUCCUCUUCUCUCACUCUCUCCUUUCUCCUCUCCUCUUUCUCUCCUCCUCCUCAUCGCCUCCUCCUCCUCCUCCUUCUUCUCCAUCUUCAUUUCUUCUUCUUCUUCUUCUUCUCUUCUCUUCUUCUUCUUCUUCUUCUUCUUCUUCCUCUUCUCUCACUCUCUCCUUUCUCCUCUCCUCUUUCUCUCCUCCUCCUCAUCGCCUCCUCCUCCUUCUUCUCCAUCUUCUCUUCUUCUUCUUCUUCUUCUUCUUCUUCUUCUUCUUCUUCUUCUUCUUCCUCUUCUCUCACUCUCUUUCUCCUCUCCUCUUUCUCUCCUAUCGCCUCCUCCUUCUUCUCCAUCUUCAUUUCUUCUUCUUCUUAUUCUUCUUCUUCUUCCUCUUCUUCUUCUUCUUCUUCUUCCUCUUCUUCUUCUUCUUCUUCUUCCUCUUCUCUCACUCUCUCCCUUCUCCUCUCCUCUUUCUCUCCUCCUCCUCCUUCUUUUCCUCUUCUUCUUCUUCUUUUCUUCUUCUUCUCCUUCUUCUUCUUCUCCUUCUCCCUUCCCCUCCCCACCCUCUCCCCCAACAUUUCCUCUCUCUAAUGCCCUUCUCUGUCUCUGAAAACUCUAAUCCUCUCUAUCUCCCUUACAUCUCUCCCUUUUCUGUCACCCAAUCUCUCCCCUUACAUCUCUUCCUGUUCUCAUUUUCCCCAUCUCCUUUGUACUUCUAUCUCCCCAUCUCUUUCCCUGCAAAGUCCCAUCAUUUCUUCUCAUCUCUAUCCCCCUCUGUGCCCCUCCAUUAUCCCCCCAUCUUUCGCCCUGCUUCUGUCCUGAUAAUCUCUCUCCCCUGCCCCACAUCACUCUCUCUCCCCUUAGUACUCACUCUCAUAUGUGAAUAG
rnacentral:lncRNA from 1 species